rnacentral:lncRNA from 1 species
AGAAAUUUUAAUCCUUCAGUUUCGACCCCGUUUGGUCACCGAAAGCUGUACCGAACUUAAUAUUUAUCAGAUAACUGUCGGAUUUUAUUUUCCACCUUCUGGGUGUCAGAAUGGGCUGAAACUUUAAAUAUAGCCUCAUAAAAAUAAUUCUAACUUAUCCUCCAAUUUUUAUGAUUUUCUGACACUGUGCAUUUUCUAAUAAUUUAUCUGCCUCGUUUCACACAGAAAAUUCUAAAUAUUCUGUUUUCGCUCCGAUUUUAGCACAGGUCAUUCCCAACCUAUAUUUCACUUCUCUAAAUCCAAAUAAAAAUAGUAUCUCAUACUAUUUUUAUUUAUUUUCACUUUUAUAUUUAAAAUCCGGUAUGUUACAUUCCACCGCAACCUCACCGGAACUAUUUAAAUGUACACCGUAACUUCAUAGUUUUAGAAAUCCGGUACCUUACAUCCUCCCCUCCUUAAAAAGAGUUUCGUCCUCGAAACUCAAAUCUCAUCUCAAUUCAAGUUUUCGAGCAUCUGAGGGUAACAAUACACUUUUGCACUUCGAAGUGGCCUUUUUCUCAUCGGAACUAUCCAAAGGCCCACUACAGAGGAUACGAGACCAAAUUCACUCACAUUUGCUAAGCACAACACCAAAAGUGCAUUACUGUUCCGCAAGUCUCGGUGGCAGCGUAAGUCGACACUCGACGACUCUAUACGCUCCAACACUACUUGCUACCGAAUCUAGGGAAUAUACACUACAACAAAAAUGCUUUUUAGCGGCGACUUUUUGGUGGCGACAAGUACUGUCGCCACCAAUGUAUUAAAUAUGGUGGCGACAUUUACUUGUCGCCGCCAAUUCAAAUAAAAUGGCGGCGACAUAUAAGAGUCGCCACCGAUUCAUAUACUUCGAUUCAUAUACUUCGAUUCGAUCAUUGGAAUUGCCUAGAAGCAAUAUCAUUGGUGCAUCGACCCAUCGCAAGUGCCACUAUCACAAUAGAAUUUGCUUUACUACGAGAUGGCACCCUUCGGCACAUCUCCAAUGUUAAUCCUCCAGAGAGCAUAUUCUCAGAUCUCGUGUGGCAAUCCAAUAUCCAAGUGUCUCCAAGAGACUACUUUAUCUUCUCUUUCCAUUGCCGCGGUUGAUAUCAAUUCGUUCCUGUAAUGAAUUCACACGAACACUUUGUUUGCGAAUCCGAGCCAACUCACUAACUGAGUUAUCGGCCAAACCGCUCACCUUGGCUUUCCAUAGGUAGACCAAAGGUCACCAACCAUACGUAGAUCUACCGCCCAAACCUGUCUCAACACGUAGCGUCUCUCGCUCGCAAGCGUAGACCCAAUCAACACUACUGGGCGAAAUUCUUAGUUGGGAAUUCGCACACACUCCGACUAGGAGCAACUACGACCCCAAACCACGUUAGGUCCUCGGGUUGGGUUACUACACACUCGGUGUGUCAUCGAUCUCGUAAUCCACACGUGGCAUUCCACGCUCCCGGGUCUAUGCUCGGACUACCGCCCUGACCAAAACUUUGCCCUACCCGUAGGUACCGGGCUGCUGCCACUCGCAGCCGACUGUGCCUACCUAGUGGGCCCAGGCUUCAUAGUCCACAAAUGGUCUAGGUACGGGUUGUCCCCAAGCACUACCCGCCGUCGUCGUCCUACACGACAUGUUCUACCGAGCCACAUAUACUACUAUUGGCUCCUAAGCACCUACUGCGAGCCGCCAGCCCCACGAGUGACCCAUGGCCCGCUUCACACUUAGCAAUGCUACAGUGCUACUGCCAUCACACUCCCCCGGCUGAAUAAAAUCCACACUCCACGAGUAUUUACACUCGAGCGCUCUACGCCUCUACAGCGUUCCACAUGAAAUCUAGCAUUAGGCAAUCUUGCCUAUGCACACCUGCCGCACGAGCACAACCGCCUACCUCACCUUAAGGUACUACUAGGCCUACGUGCUCAAACUUGGCCACUAAUCGACCGUUCUCUCAACAGUGAUUCUACCUUUACCGUCCAAUCUACCGGAACAAUAUCCGAAAUUUUCGGAUUACUCGGGUGCCUACAAGUAUCAUGGCUCAGCUCUCGCAAUCUACUGAUCAUGUUGCCUUGAGAGUCACUUCACCAUUUCAUCUACACCACGAGUCUCAUUUCUCAUCCAUAGGCCACUACUAGCAAUUUGCUAGUGACGUCUAGCUCUCUACCUGCUCCAGCAGGCGCUAUACUCUCUCACACAAGCAUGCCCGGGUACCCUUACCUACCCGUCCACUGGUCCCUACUAUACUAAUGUAUAAAUAGUAGCAACUGACCAUGAAAAUGCAAGCAAUGCACUAACUUAAUAUCAUGCAGAAACACACAUUUGCUGCAACUAAACCAUACCUGCCAUGGCAUCUUCGAUAGCAGCAGGUUCCUCGACUUGAGCGGCAAACACCUGGUCACUCGGAGUCGACUGGACCACCUCGGACUGACGAGGUGCCAUCACGCGUCCAACUGACGCAACAGUAGGUAGGGCUCCUCCAUAGUGGCUCGGAAUUGCCGGAGCCGAUGGAGUAGACGGGACAGGCGAGGUCCUCCUUGGAAAGUGACGACUGAUGUGUCCCGCCUGACCACACGUGAAGCAUUUUCCUUCUUUUUGCUCGCAAUGGUUCGGGUCAUGUUUACCUCCGCAAAUAACGCACUUCCAAGUCCCACGACUCUGGGACCGUGCUCGCGGGUACUUCGAAGGCUUCUUAGACCUUGACUGACCUCUCGAGCCGUCAGAGGCUCGCUUCUUACCGCCAUCCCUCUUGGACGCCUCUCGCUCCUCGCGGACGUGGGCAUUACUAUGCUCCGCCCACAACGCUCGAUCGAGCACUUCAGCAAUGUAGUGAGUUUCAGAAUGUGAACCGCUUUAUAUAUAUCCGGUCAGAGUCCUCUCACGAACCAGUUGGCCCGAUCUCUGUCGUCUCACACCACGUCGGGGACGCCGUCGAUAAUACGUGAGAACUCCUGUUCGUACUCUCCGACCGAGCGGUUUCCUUGCUUUAACUUUCGGAAUUUAUCCUGGAGCUUCCUUUUCUUACUAUUGGGGAAAUAGUUGACAUAUAACAAGCUCCGAAACUCUUUCCACGUCAAUGGCGGAAGGUCAGGAGACCGAUCUCGCUUGACCCGCUUCCACCACACCUUCGCCGCCCGCUCCAAGCAAUGUGUAGCAAGGGGAACUUUAUCCUUCUGUAGUAUAUAGAGAUCUUCAAAAAGAGUCUCCAUUGAGUCCACCCACGACUCGACCAUCCAAGACUCAACCUUUUUCCCGUUGAACAUCGGCGGACUAAACUUUCGAAACUUCAUAAGAGCCGCAAGCGCGCAGUCCCUCUCCGCUUCCGUAGCUACAUCUUCGGGGUUUGAAGUCCCCGAACCGGUAGCCACCAUCGUCAGUGCGGAUUGCGCCGCAACCGGCACAGCUGCCGUGGCCACACCCUCUGUCACGACGGGCACGACCACUGGAGGCGCGGGCCGCUCAACAUUCGCUUGAGCCGAUGCUAGCUGCGCUACCAACUGUUGUAGCCUCGCAAUCUGGUCCUCUUGGCGCUGCAUUGCGCCGACCAUCGAAGCAAUCUGCGCUCGCAAUUCCUGCACUUCUUCAGAUCCCGACUGCUCGGGCACCUCGGGAGGUGGUGCCAGAGUGGAUCUAGUCACGAGGCGUCUCUUUGGUGCCAUAGCACCUGAAACGCAACAACUUGGUUAAUCACCUUAACCCGUUAAUCUCGUCGCAACUACUAGACAACAUGACUCAAAUCAGGCGAAAGUCAUACAAUGGUGCCUAUUCUCACCACUAGGUUUCAUGCUGUCGCGCGCCAACAUGAACACACUUGGUUGAGAAUAUACCACACCUUGAGUCUACCUCUAACAUCCGUUUUAGAGGUUUACUAUCUUAACCCAAUCGAUUCAACUUCCGCCACCGUUAUAGGUUCACGUUCCACUCACGCACCUAUAACCUUACGGUUUACCGUCCUAGAGUCUCCUAAGUCAUCCUAGACUCUAUCUUUACUUGCUCUUAGCUUGCUCUGAUACCACCAACUGUGUCACGCCCCGCCCCGAAUCCAAUACCAAUUUGGCACAGUUCAGGUACGCCGGACGGACCGCCGAACGGACAGCACCUCUCCUAUCCGCCCAAGGCUAAGCAACCAGAUCAUGUACAGUUAAGCGCCUAGGGAAUGCUUAAAUAACAUAUAUGAUCGAUACGAUGCACACAAGUGCAAUACAUCUAAGAGCAAGAACCACAAGUAAUAUACAAGUGUAUAAAGAGAGAUAGUCUAACUAUUACAACCAUUCAAUAGUUACAUCAUUUGAUUACAUUACAUUUUCAUCUUUCAAAAUGUAGAUACAUGUUUUCCAAAAUACAUCAUGGCUCUCCCAUAACUAUCCAAAACAUCAUCUAGUACACGAGGGUAUUCUAAUGCAUAAAGGAAAAGCUACUAACUAGGCUCACUUAGGGCGCUAUGCCCUUGCCGCGGUCCUCUGCCGGUCCGCUCUCGUGUGUACCUGUACCCCAAAACCACACGGGGUGAGAACUAUAUAUAAAUAUAGUUCCCAGUGGGUUCGGCCGCCGACUCCGCCGAUCUUCCCACUAGGUCCAAGCUGGCACAGAUAGAUAGAUAGAAACGUAGAUAGAAAUACAUUGCUACUAUAUCUACUAUGCCAUCAAAUGCAAAGAAUGCAUGGAAUAUUAUCUAGCAAUAAGUUACUAUCAUGCUAGUAUACUUCAACAGUGUAAUAAAUACAACUACAACAUAGUUAUGCAGUCUACUAUGUCUAAUCAUGGCAUGAAUGCAAUCCACUUAUACUAUUCAUGUUACAACCCAAUCGACUAGGCCAACUUGCCUAAGAUCUCAAAUCUCAAAGGUCCUAGACAAAGAGCUACCCCGCUCCUUGCUCGACUCAAUCUCGAAGGUCCUAGGCAAAGAGCUACCCCGCUCCUUGCCCGACUCAAUCUCGCUCUACUAAGUACGAGCUGCUACAUAGUAAUGGAAUAUACACAUGCUACUAUGCCUCUGUAAUCAUGGAAUGCAUGAACAUAGCAAUGAUAUUCUACUAAUCAUGAUACUAUGCUUCAACAACAAUAGAAAUGAGCUACUACAUAGUGAUGUAUCUACAACAUGCUACUAUGUCUCAACAAUAAAGAAAUGAGCUACUACAUAGUGAUGUAUCUACAACAUGCUACUAUGUCUCAACAAUAAAGAAAUGAGCUACUACAUAGUGAUGUCUCUACACAUGCUACUAUGCCUCAAUAAUUCGAAUGAACGAUCUACUACAUAGUGCGUCGUGCAACUAUGCCUCGAUAGUAUCCAAUCUCAUGGCCAACCCGAAGGUUGCCACCCCGGGGUCAACCCCGACUCACUCUCAAUCUCAUAGGUGAGGAGAAUCUGCACUCGCACACCGAGACCGUCUGCGGGACAAUCCUAUGUGAAUACUCCAGAGACCACUGCUUCGGUGGAGUGACCACCGACAAGCGAAAACAGACUAGUGAGUAUGAUCCAAUCCUCACAAGAGGAUACCCUAUCUAUCAGGGUCAAUGUGUCUCUGCUGCACAAUACCAAAUGCAUAAUCAAUGCCUCAAAUGCACUAAUGCCAAAUGCAUAAUGUCUACAACAUGACAAUCGGGAAAAUCUACUAUCCCUAGGUUCAAAUGCCAUAGUGUUCCACUACACUAGAUUUGAUGCCACUCGUUUAUGUCAUGAUGUUAUAUGUGUCUUAAUGCACUAAAUCGACAUGCCACUCGUCAAUAUUAUAGUGUCUUUAUUACACUAGUCCAAACGCCACUCGUCUAGGCCAAUUACAUGUCCAUGUUCAUCAUCAUUCUUGUCACCAUAGGAUUCUUGUCGUAAGACCCAAUCCUCAUGCAAUCUAAGAUCAAGUGUCAAGCCCACAAUGCUACACAACCUAGGUAACAUGCAAGGAAUGGAAAUGUAAUCAUCUACUAAUCCUAUAAUGCACAAUAUAUCAACAUAUAGGAAUAUGAUCAACGUAUAUAACUUAGACAUAAAAGGAAGCUCAGUUGCUUCGGGAUGGACACCCCCCACCUUUUAAUGCUACCAAGAGGCUAGGGUUCCGAUUUCGUGAUUUUUGGAAGCUUUCGCCGCGAGCUGCGGCAAUCUGUACCUUAACGGCUUCGUUUUUUAAUAUCUUCACGUAGCCUCGUCGUAUCGCCGAACCGACUUCGCUAACGCAUCAGAAAACCUAGCAAUUAGGUUUAUACAUGAUCAAUUUAGAUCAAACCCUCACAUAUUGCAAAAUCUCAUUUUUGAGCCCUAACAUGCAAUUACCCCCAAAUAAUCCAAAUUAAAUGGAGCAACAUGCUAAGAAUACUCAUUAGAGGCUACUAGAACACUUAAGCUUAAGGAUUAAGCCAAAUCCCAAAAGUUUACCAAAAUGUGAACGCCGAGACGGAAGCACGCCGUUCCAACGGGUGCACGAAAGCUCGAUCCGUCGCUCCCAACGCGUUCGCAAGCUCGUUCUUCGCCAACGCCGCGAAUUUGGGUGAAAGAUCUAGAGAGAUGAGAGAGUUAUUUAGAGAGAGAAAGUGAGGAUUUCUCUCACUACCACCAUGAACGUGUGGUGUUGUGGAGGUGGUGGUGACUGUGAAGAAGAAGAAGACUAGAAGCUUCUACUUAUAGUCAACACCCCAAUAGUAGCAUACACUAUUCACUUCAGGCAGCUCGAAAUCUGAUAUCUUUCGCCGAAGCCCUCUGAAUAUCUGUUUGAGCUCAAAUUUGACAGCCAUGUUCGGUUUUGCUUAACUUAAUGAAAGAAAUUUUAAUCCUUCAGUUUCGACCCCGUUUGGUCACCGAAAUCUGUACCGAACUGUAAUCUUUAUCAGAUAACUGUCGGAUUUUAUUUUCCACCUUUCUGGUGUCAGAAUGGGCUGAAACUUUAAAUAUGGCCUCAUAAAAAUAAUUCUAACUUAUCCUCCAGUUUUCAUAAUUUUCUGACACUGUGCAUUUUCUACUAAUUUAUCUGUCUUGUUUCACACAAAAAAUUCUAAAUAUUCUGUUUUAGCUCCGAUUUCAGUAUAGGUCAUUCCCAACCUAUAUUUCACUUCUCUAAAUCCAAAUAAAAAUAGUAUCUCAUACUAUUUUUAUUUAUUUUCAUUUUUAUAUUUAAAAUCCGGUAUGUUACAUUCUACCGCUACCUCACCGGAACCAUUUAAAUGUACACCGUAACUUCAUA